rnacentral:rRNA from 1 species
UACCAAAAACACAGGUUUGUGCUAAAUCGAAAGAUGACGUAUACGAGCUGACGCCUGCCCGGUGCUGGAAGGUUAAAAGGAGAUGUGCAAGCAUUGAAUUGAAGCCCCAGUGAACGGCGGCCGUAACUAUAACGGUCCUAAGGUAGCGAAAUUCCUUGUCAGGUAAGUUCUGACCCGCAUGAAAGGCGUAAUGAUCUGGGCACUGUCUCAACAGCCCGCCCGGCGAAAUUGUAGUACCGGUGAAGAUGCCGGUUACCCGCGACAAGACGGAAAGACCCCAUGGAGCUUUACUGUAGCCUAAUAUUGGGUUUCGGUGUUGCAUGCACAGGAUAGAUGGGACGCUAGGAAGUGAGUGCUUUGGCAUUCAUGGAGCGGCCGUUGGGAUACCAUCCUUGCGACAUUGGAAUUCUAACCUGCGCCUUUGAAUCAAGGCGGGGGACAUUGUUAGGUGGGCAGUUUGACUGGGGCGGUCGCCUCCUAAAGAGUAGCGGAGGCGUUCAAAGGUUGGCUCGUCCUGGACGGAAACCAGGAGAGAGAGUGCAAACGCAAAAGCCAGCCUGACUGCGAGACUGACGGGUCGAGCAGAGACGAAAGUCGGAGUUAGUGAUCCGGUGGUAUGUGAGUGGAAAUGCCAUCGCUCAACGGAUAAAAGUUACCCUGGGGAUAACAGGCUGAUCUCCCCCAAGAGUCCACAUCGACGGGGAGGUUUGGCACCUCGAUGUCGGCUCAUCGCAUCCUGGGGCUGUAUUCGGUCCCAAGGGUUUGGCUGUUCGCCAAUUAAAGCGGUACGCGAGCUGGGUUCAGAACGUCGUGAGACAGUUCGGUCCCUAUCUGUCGUGGGCGCAGGAUAUUUGAAAGGCGCUGUCCCUAGUACGAGAGGACCGGGAUGGACGAACCUCUGGUGCACCAGUUGUCACGCCAGUGGCACAGCUGGGCAGCUAUGUUCGGAUCGGAUAAACGCUGAAAGCAUCUAAGCGUGAAGCCGGCCUUAAGAUAAGAUAUCCCACUGAGAUAAUCAGGUAAGACCCCUUGAAGACUACAAGGUUGAUAGGCACAAUGUGUAAGUGGCG